rnacentral:rRNA from 1 species
GCCAGACUCCUACGGGAGGCAGCAGUGGGGAAUAUUGGGCAAUGGGCGCAAGCCUGACCCAGCAACGCCACGUGAAGGAAGAAGGCUUUCGGGUUGUAAACUUCUUUUGACAGGGAAGAGCAGAAGACGGUACCUGUCGAAUAAGCCACGGCUAACUCCGUGCCAGCAGCCGCGGUAAUACGGAGGGUGCGAGCGUUAAUCGGAAUUACUGGGCGUAAAGCGCUCGUAGGCGGUAUGUCAAGUCAAGGGUGAAAUCCCCGCGCUCAACGUGGGAACUGCCUUUGAAACUGGCAAACUGGAGUGUGUGAGAGGAUAGUGGAAUUCCAGGUGUAGGAGUGAAAUCCGUAGAUAUCUGGAGGAACAUCAGUGGCGAAGGCGGCUUACUGGACAGUAACUGACGUUGAGGCUCGAAAGCGUGGGGAGCAAACAGGAUUAGAUACCCGCGUA